GGAAAGAUGGCUCAGUGGUUAAGAGCACUGACUACUCUGCUAGAGGUCCUGGGUUCGAUUCCCAGCCUCCA
rnacentral:tRNA from 1 species